rnacentral:rRNA from 1 species
CUCAGGAAUGAACGCGGCGGGCUGCUAAACAGGCACAGUCGAAAAGGGGAAGUUGGUUUGUUUUCCAGUGGCGAACGGGUGCGAAGUAACGCGUAGAACUGCCAUUGGGAGGGGAACAACAAUAUGGAAGGAAACGGUUGCUAAAUACCCAGUAGGCUGAGGAGCAAAGGAAAAUCCGCCAAGGAGGGGUCGCGUCGAUAGCGAGUGGUGAGGCAAUAGCUUACCAAGGCGAUGAGCGUAGCUGGUCCGAGAGAUGUGAUCAGCACACAAUGGGACUGAGACACGGCACAGGACUCCUACGGGAUGGAGCAGUUGGGGAAUUCGAAAUGGGCGAAAGCCGGGACGGAGCAAUGCGCGUGGGAGUUUGAAGGCCCUACGGGUCGUCAACUUCUUUCUCGGAGAAAGAAACAAUGACGGUUAUCUGCGGAAUAUGCAUCGGCUAACUCUGUGCCAGCAGCCGCGGUAAGGACAGAGAUGAAGGUUAUCCGGAAUGAUUGGGCGUAAAGCGUCUGUAGGUGGGCUUUUCAAGUCCGCCGUCAAACCCGGGCUCAACCUGGACAGGCGGGGUGGAAACUACCACGCGGGAGUAAUACGGUAGGGGCGAGGGAUUUACGGUGGAGCGGUGUGAAAUGCAGUGAGAUCGGGAAAGAACCCCAACGGCGAAAGCACUAUGCGGGCCGCACUGACACUGAGGAGACGAAAGCUAGGGGAAGGCCAAAUGGAAUUAGAGAACCCAGUAGUCCUAGCCGUAAACGAUGAUACUAGGUGAUGUGCGACUCGACCGUUGCAGUGCUUGUCGCUAACGCGUUAAGUAUACGCCUGGGGAGUAGCGUUCGCAAGAAUGAAACGCAAAAGGAUUGACGGGGGCCGCACAGCGGUGGAGAGGUGGUUAAAUUCGAGCAAAGCGAAGAACCUUACCAGGAUUGACAUGCCGCGAAUCUCUUGAAAAGAGAAGGGGUGCCCUCGGAACGCGGACACAGGUGGUGCAUGGCUGUGUCAGCUCGUGCCGUAAGGGUGUUGGGUAAGUCUCGCAAACGAGCGCAAACCCUCGUGUUUAGUUGCCACUUAUGAGUUUGGAACCAUGAACAGACCGGCAGGGGUUUAAGCCGGAGGAAGGAGAGGAUGAGGCCAGGUCAUCAUGCCCCUUUGCCCUGGGCGACACACGUGUCGUGCUUAACAAUGGGCGGGACAAAAAGGGUCGCGAUCUCGCGAGGGUGAGCUAACUCCAAAAAACCCGUCCUCAGUUCGGAAUUGAAGGCUGCCACUCGCCUGCAUGAAGCAGGAAUCGCUAGGAAUCGCGGUUCAGCCGUACGGCGGUGAAUGUUCCGGGCCUUUUACACACGCCCGUCACACAAGGAGCUGGCCAGGUUUGAAGGUCAAUUACCUAACCGUAAGGAGUGGGGGAUGCCAGGCUAGGCUUGCGACUGGAGUGAAGUCGUAACAAGGUAGCCGCUACUGGAAGGUGCGGCCU